rnacentral:lncRNA from 1 species
UAUGACUUGCGUUGAGAGAGACAAAAGCACUCAUAUUCUGAAUUCUGUUUCGUAAGCUUGAAAGUGUUUUUGGCAGGGAGGAUUUUGGACUUCAGCAAUGCAGAUGUGGCAGUCGAUCAGUACCAUCGGUACAAGGUGAACUCUGGAAUACUCAGAUCAUUCAUGAGUAGUCAUCUGUGGAUGUUCCAUGUUAGAUUCUGUUAAAAAUAUAGAUCAUUAGAUCAUGUCCCAUCUACAAGCAUAAGAUUUUAGAUGGAAUGACAUUGAUUAAAAUUUAAAAUGGUAUCAAUGAUCAAAGUUAAAGAUCCAUAGUUCAAAUCUCAACAUGACCAUCUUAUAAGAAAAGUCCUAAUUAAGAGACACAUAUUGAAUCGAGUCAUCCGUGGCCUACAUGUUAUUUCCAAUUUAUUUGUACAUUUGAUGACUUACCAACACGAUAUACUUUGAUUAGCUCGAGUUUUGCAUGAAUUUUAAAUUUAUUUUGUUUUUUAUUGUCAAGAGCAACUCCUAGUGGUUCUGAAAUAGAAAAAAGUCCCCUUCUUCAUGGACUCUUAAGGGAUCAUCAGUAGCUUUUAGAUCAUGCACUGUUUAAUCCAAUAGCUAAAUACUGAAAGUAAGAUUGGUGCAAAUGAAAGAUAACUCGUAAAAGAUUGCCUUACCACAAAAGAAGCAUUGUUCUUGCUGAUAUGUACCAGAAGACUAUUUUUUAUCUCAUAGAUAGUGUUCAAGUCUAAGAUGCUGCAUUCUUCUCAUAAGUCCAUAAGAGUCAAUGCAUAGUCAAGGUGGAACUUGAUGGAUUCCAUGGCCGAUAAUCUUAUGAUCCAGAAAGUUAAACAUCUGAAAGAUGCACGAUAAUUAAUUUCCCUAUUUACAUAAGAAGAAGAUUUGAUUUUUCUGACAUUGUUAGGACAUACUAUUUAGUCAACGGUAAUCGUGUGGAAGAGCAUUUAAUUGUACUCGAGCUAGCAGAAACCUAUCCUACUAGUACCUAUAUUAGUUGGUUGAGCCACAACACUUGUUUAUACUUUAAGGCUGAAAGUUCAGUCUCUAAAUCAACCAUAACACUUAGAAAAUAAAAUAAAAUCAACAAAAAAGGUUCAAAAGUAAACUAAGGGGAAAAAAAGAUGAAAGAGGUGCAAAAAUAAGCUGAGCACUCAAAUAGGGAACUAACAUCAUCAAAUACCAUUCUCCUGAUCAAUUUCUGUGGACAUAGAUAAGCGAAGGGAAGUUUUCACUUAUCAACUUGUCCUGUAGCUAUUUUAUCUUAAAAAUGCCUCUCAGUUACAUGAUUUAUUUCUCUGUAGGGUGGGUCUCCACUCAAGAACUGUUAGUAUUUAAUGAGCAAAUUCUGUUGUCAAGAGAACUGACAUGUUCCCUCUUGGAUCAAAACCUCAUCAUAGGCAAAAUUCUUAGUUGAUCAUUUGAGUGUCUUGAAAAUCUCAUCUAAAAAUGUUAAGGCUUUUUAUGCUUUUGGAUCAGAAACCUUUUAUUGCAAAUCAAAGGUGAACUUUUUGCAAUAAAAGUUCUGCCUUAACCUUAGUCUCCUUUUUUUUUAAACUUCAAAAAUCAUAUGACUGAUGGCCGUUCUCGUAGCAAACUCAAAACUUCUGUUUCACUCAACCAAUUCAUUUUGGAAGAUCUCAUGAGACACAAAAGUUCAAGAUUAUCUAAAAAACUGUAAAAUACUGCAUUGUGUAAAAUAAUCUAAAAUUUGCCCAAACACAACAAAUCGAAAACCAUCAGGCUUUUGUCAUCACCACCAUAAAGCACAUAUGUAAUCAUUUAAUGCUUUGUCAAGACAAUAUUCAUGUGUUAGAGAGAUUGAAGGAAGAUUAAUGAAAAGAACGCCCGGCUAAAAGUUGUUCAAGAAUAGUGGCAUUAACUUUCUUGACUCUCUUCUUUCCUAGCUCCUUCCUUUUUCUUUUGAGACACCUUCAGAUGGAAGUCUACAUGAUUAACUCAAAGUAUUUGUUGAUCAAAAUUUUUCCAACCAUGUUUGUGAGCUUCGUAAACCAAUCCAUGGUCUCAAGCAGGCUUCACGUGAGAAUAGUCCCAUGUUGCUAAGGACUAAAAGAGUCAAAUGACAUAUAAUGAGUUUGAUCCAUAACUUAGUAAGUUUAAGUUUUGUAAUUGUAUUGGUCUCCGAACUCAUGUACAUUAGCCAUGACUAAAAAAAUCUGAGCCAUGACCGAAAAAAUCUGAGUAUGGUAUCAAAGUUAAGAUUUAUCAAAAUAAUAAUAAUAAACGACUGAAAAAAAAGAGAAGCAACUAGAUAUGGUUGCACCCAAGCGAAAAAAACGUCUACACACAAAAUAACCUAUCCUUAUAAGUAGAAGACAAUUAAGCCACACAUGAAGUUGCACUCAAGUGAAAAAAAAGUCUACAUGAAAUAUGACCUAUCCUUACAAAUAAGUAGAAGACAAUUAAGACACCCAUGAAUAAAAGGGGAUGCUAAGACAAUAUUUAUGAAAGAGAUUGAAAGAGGACUUAAAGAAUAAUCUCAUAUUGUUAAAGUUGAAAGAGUCAACUAAUAUACAUUGGAUUUGGUUCAUAACUUGAUAAGUUUUGCAUUGACGUUCAAUCUCAUGUGCAUCAAACCUGAAUAAUUUGAUUUAGAUUUCUUGUCAAUUUUAAAAUGUCAAUGUCUCCCAUCACUUUUCAUGCACUUGAUUGCUUCACACUCUUGGACUUUUAGAUAAGAUUUUGGUUCUUGCACUGGAUGCCUAGAAUAACCAUCCGCUCUAAUACCGUUAACUAGUAGCUUACAGCAAAAUCAGAGAUUUCGCUCACAUGUUAAUAUUGUCUUGUUAGUAUUCUUAACACAAAAGCCUUGUUUCUUUUCUUCAUAGGCAGAAUGGUGACCAACUUCAGUAAAUAUAUUACCCAUAUCAUUUCAUAAUAGCAAGAUAUAUUAUUCUUUUUGUACAGAGCGACGUGGAUUUGAUGAAGGGCAUGGGAAUGGAUGCCUACAGGUUCUCUAUCUCAUGGUCACGGAUCUUCCCAAGUAAUAUGAAGCUGGCCUAUUGGUACUAGACAUAUUUAAACCCUAUCUUGGAUAAAAUAACAGCCUUUCCUGUUCACAGAUGGAACAGGAGAACCUAAUCAAGAAGGAAUAAGCUACUAUAACAGACUCAUAGACACUCUACUACAAAAAGGUAGCUUUUAAAAAGGUUCUUUGAAGGAUCUCCUGAAGUUUUGAGGCUGAUAACUAUUAUUAUUAUUUUGUUGUUGUUACAGGAAUACAACCUUAUGUUACACUCUUCCACUGGGAUCUUCCACAAGCUCUAGAGGACCGAUACAACGGAUGGCUGAGCCAAGAGAUCAUGUAAGGAUUAUAUCGAAUCUUUAUUUAAUCGGCCACAGUGUUCAGGAAAAGAUAGGUAAAACUCACUCUAAAAUGCAGACAAGAUUUCAAGCAUUACGCCUAUACUUGUUUCAAAGCAUUUGGAGAUAGAGUGAAGCAUUGGAUCACCUUCAACGAGCCUCAUGGAUUCUCAAUUCAAGGAUAUGACACAGGUCUGCAAGCUCCGGGAAGGUGUUCUAUUCUAAUACACAUGCUAUGUCGGAGAGGCAAGUCAUCAAUUGAACCAUAUAUUGUUGCUCACAACAUCCUAUUAUCUCACGCUGCUGCUUUUCAUACAUACAAGCUCAACUUCAAGGUAAACCAUGCUUUUCUUGUCGCAGCCAACUUUUUAUUACUGGUCAAUGAAUAAGAAAAAGCAAGAUAAGAAGCUAACUUUAAUGUGUAGGAAAAGCAAAAGGGUGUUAUUGGAAUUGCUCUUGAUUCCAAGUGGUAUGAACCUAUAUCUGGUGCUAAAGAAGACCUAGAUGCUGCUAAUAGAGCCAUGGAAUUCGAACUAGGAUGGUAAUCUGCUACUGAUUUCUGAAUAUAUGAGAACCCUACUUCAUUGAUUGACAACUUACGGUGACUGUGGAUCCCCAAGCAGGUUCUUGAAUCCUCUUAUCUUUGGGGAUUAUCCUCUCUCCAUGAAGAAUCUUGUACGAAGCAGACUACCCAGAUUUACUAGUGAUGACUCUACGUCAUUGGCUGGUUCUUUGGAUUUUUUAGGCAUAAAUCACUACACCACAUUAUAUGCUCGGAAUGAUCGGACAAGAAUCAGGAAGCUGGUACUGAAUGAUGCAUUAGCUGAUGCACUUGUCAUCACGACAUGUAUGAUAGAGUCACUAAAAUACUUAAUUAAUCUUCAGCGAUAUGGAAUUUAAACUUCUAUAAUGUUUGUAACAGCUUCUCGAAAUGGAGAGAGGAUUGGUGAAAGAGUAAGUCACAAUACUUAUGCUUCUAAUCACUUUUGAACUAAUGCUCAGGUUUAGGAAUCAUCACUUAAUUAUUCUUUCAGGCUGCAUCAGGAUGGCUUCACAUUGUCCCAUGGGGUAUCCGCAAGUCAAUGAAUUAUAUCAAGGAAAACUAUGCGAACCCAUUGGUUAUAAUAACAGAGAAUGGUACAAACAAAGUGAUUGAAUCAGGAAUAUAGCUCUCCUUUUCGAGAAAUCUUACAAGAAACAUUUGGUGUUGUAGGCAUGGAUGAUCCAAAUUUCACUACCCUCGACAAAGCACUGAAGGAUGAUAAGCGGAUACGCUAUCAUGCUGACUACCUCUCAAACCUGCAAGCUGCUAUAUGGUAAUUUACUGUGCAUUAGUUCACCUGAGGGUGUCAGGAUCAGCAUAACAAUCUUCAGCUCCAUUACUUUUUUUCCUACAAUUAACUAAGAUGAAUUAAUGCAGGGAGGACGGUUGCAAUGUACAUGGCUACUUCGUGUGGUCGCUACUAGAUAAUUGGGAAUGGAACUCAGGGUUUACAGUUCGAUUUGGCCUCUACUAUGUCGACUACAAGAGCAACCUAACUAGGAUACCGAAAGCCUCAGUUCAGUGGUUCAAACACGUUCUAGAAAAGAAUGACACGCUUGCGCAGAAAGGAAUCACAUUUAAAGAUCAGAUUGGAUGACUUGUUAAUGUAGAUUCAACAAUUUACCAUCCCUUAUAUAUUUCUCUUGGUUCCAUUGAGCAGUCAAGCAUGAGAAUAGUAAACGCCAAAUGUCUGGGACCAAAGUAACAAGUUCAAAUGCAAUCAAUUUCUUGUGGGAAAUUUGGAAUAUGUAAUCAAUGAAGAGCAUCAAGAACAGAACAACCACUUUUACUGCACUGGAACUAACAGUCUAAAAUCAGAAGCGGAAAUCUCGAUGGAUUCCAAAGCACAAAGAAGGAAUCUCGAUGAAUUUACCUAAAAUUUUGGUGGGAGAAGCGAUUUAGCCUCCUCUUUUCUUGAUCACCCAAUCAACCAAAUCCCUCCCCCGUUUCGUUGCUCAGCCAACUCCAAGACGCCAUCGAAUAGCUUUUAAAGCACUAUUCCGAAUUGGGAUUCAGGGCGAUAUUGCGGCAAACCACGCCAUGUUUUCGAGGCCGACGAAGCGGGGGCGUAAACGGGUCGCAUUAUUAGGAAAAGUAAUCCGAACAAAUUAUUCGUGUU